UAAUAAGUGUUUUAUGGCACUUUUUAAAUCCAUAUCCACCUUGUGUGCAAUGUCAGUCGAUCUUCUUUUCAUGGAGAUCGACCAAACAUCAACCUUUAUCUUUUAACUCUUUGUCUGAAAAAUAUUAUGAAUAAACAAUUCAAAAUA
rnacentral:misc_RNA from 1 species